rnacentral:rRNA from 1 species
GGGACGAGAUGUCACUAUGCCAGUGUGGAUCCUUGAGAUUUUGGUUGUGCGCAACCUACGCAGUAAGUUCGACCGCCUGGGGAGUACGGCCGCAAGGUUAAAACUCAAAUGAAUUGACGGGGGCCCGCACAAGCGGUGGAGCAUGUGGUUUAAUUCGAAGCAACGCGAAGAACCUUACCUGGCCUUGACAUCCUGAGAACUUUCCAGAGAUGGAUUGGUGCCUUCGGGAACUCUGACACAGGUGCUGCAUGGCUGUCGUCAGCUCGUGUCGUGAAAUGUUGGGUUAAGUCCCGUAACGAGCGCAACCCUUGUCCUUAGUUACCAGCACGUCGGGGGGGGACUCCUAAGAAAAUGGCCGUGAACAACCGGAAGAAAGGGGGGAAGAACUCCAAUCCUCCAGGGCCUUACCGGCAAGGCUACCCCCCUGCUACCAUGGGCCGUACCAAAGGGUGCCAACCCCCCAGGGGGAACCGAACCCCUAAAAUCCGUCGUAAUCCGGAAUGGAAUCCGGCACUCCACUGCCUGAAAUCCGAAUCCCUUGUAAUCCUGGAUCCAAAUGGCACCGUUAAUACCUUUCCGGGCCUUGGACACACCGCCCGUCACCACAAGGGAAUGGGUUGCCUCAGAAAUUAGUUAGUCAACCCUCCGGAGGGCGGUUAACACCGAGUGAAUCCUGAAUGGGGUGAAAUCGAAAAGGGGGAACCAAAA